rnacentral:rRNA from 1 species
UACGGAGGGUGCGAGCGUUGUCCGGAAUCAUUGGGCGUAAAGCGCGUGUAGGUGGUGGGACAAGUCUGCUGUGAAAGCGCCUGGCUUAACCGGGCGAGGUCGGCGGAAACUGUCCGACUCGAGGACGGUAGAGGGGGGUGGAAUUCCCGGUGUAGUGGUGAAAUGCGUAGAGAUCGGGAGGAACACCUGUGGCGAAGGCGGCCCCCUGGGCCGGCCCUGACACUGAGACGCGAAGGCGUGGGGAGCGAACGGG